rnacentral:rRNA from 1 species
GGAUUGCUUUAGUAACGGCGAGUGAAGCGGCAACAGCUCAAAUUUGAAAUCUGGCGUCUUUGGCGUCCGAGUUGUAAUUUGUAGAGGAUGCUUCGGCGUAGGCGCCGCCUAAAGUUCCUUGGAACGGGACGUCGUAGAAGGUGAUAGCCCUGUGACAGGGCGGAUGCCGUCGCCAUGUGAAGCUCCUUCGACGAGUCGAGUUGUUUGGGAAUGCAGCUCAAAACGGGAGGUAAAUUUCUUCUAAAGCUAAAUACCGGCCGGAGACCGAUAGUGCACAAGUAGAGUGAUCGAAAGAUGAAAAGCACUUUGGAAAGAGAGUCAAACAGCGCGUGAAAUUGUUAAAAGGGAAGCGCUUGCGGUCAGAACUUGGCCGCCGUUGCUCGGGGAGGUCUCGUGCCUCCCUCGCUCUUCGGCGGCUGGGCCAGCAUCGGUUCGGGCGGCUCGAUAAAGGCCGCGGGAACGUAGCUCCCUCCGGGGAGUGUUAUAGCCCGCGGCGGAAUGGGGCCCGCCUGGAUCGAGGUCUGCGCAUCUGCUCGGAUGCUGGCGUAAUGGCCUCAAGCGGCCCGUCUUGAAACACGGACCAAGGAGUCUAACAUUCGUGCGAGUGUUCGGGUGUCAAACCCGUGCGCGCAAUGAAAGUGAACGUAGGUGGGAACCCCUCGUGGGCGCACCAUCGACCGAUCCUGAUGUCUUCGGAUGGAUUUGAGUAUGAGCACGUAUGUUGGGACCCGAAAGAUGGUGAACUAUGCGUAAACAGGGCGAAGCCAGAGGAAACUCUGGUGGAGGCUCGCAGCGGUUCUGACGUGCAAAUCGAUCGUCAAAUUCGCGCAUAGGGGCGAAAGACCAAUCG